CGUCCGGACCGGGCGACCGCUCGUGAAGAGAGGAAAGUCCGGGCUCGCGGAGCCGGCGCGCCGGGUAUAAUCUCGGGCUUCCGAUACGAGAGUUUCGGAAGACGGAAAGUGCCACAGAAACGAUACCGCCCCUACGGGGUAAGGGUGAAAAGUGCGGGAGUAAGACCCCGCUUGGACUAUCGCAAGGUAGCACCAUGGUAAACCCCGCGUCGAGCAAGGCCAAAUAAGAAGGUAGAGGCGGCUCCUCUCGACAACCUUCGGGUAGGCCGCAGAAGCGUCGGGGUAACCCGCCGUCAAGAUAGAUGGUCGCCGCCCUACGGGGAACAGAACCCGGCUUAUAGGUUCGGACGGAUA
rnacentral:RNase_P_RNA from 1 species